rnacentral:lncRNA from 1 species
AGCAGGAAGCAAAACCACAACAUAACACUUCCAUAAUUCAACAGAAUUACAAACAGAGGUCUACGGCCAAAAGUCUACAAAAGACCGGCUCUUAAAAAGGAAUUGUCCUACGACCUACAAGUCGGACACAUUCUCCAAUCUUAUGGCUUCACCUUUGCAACUCCUCAAGGCCAACCAAAGCUAUCCGGUCGCUCCGUCCACCAGGGACCUGAAAUUUUAAUCCCACAACCGGGAUGAGACGAUGUCUCAGCAAGUUCAACCCCCUAAACCCCUAUUAGAAAGAAAAUACGCCCCGGGUGGCCUAGCCAC